GAAAAAAAAAAAAAAAAUUCAUAUUACUAGAACACAUUGGUAUUGAAGGAACUAGAUACUGUUCCGAAAUAUCACUUACUCGAACCGUCCUGACCGCGUAGCUCAGUUGGAAGAACAUUGGGCUACUGGGCUAGUAUUCCAAAGGUCGUAGGUUCGAAUCCCACCGUGGCCGGGCAUAUUUUUCAAGCUCGCCCGGUGUGGAUAUGCACUCAGAGUAACAUCGCAAACAUAUUAUUCACCUGAGUACACAGCACCAACACAGAAAAAAAA